UAAUUAUCUUUAUCAAUUUUAUUUUUCACUUAGUGGUUGUUAAUUAUCCUUUCUUUACUGGGCAACAGAUUGAAAAUUUGUGAUGCACUAUUUAUAUACGAUAAUGUCUAGAUACAUUUAUAAAUACGUGUUGCAUAAACUAACUACGGUAGCUACUAUUGUUAUAUAUAUUGUUAUAUAUUUAGUAUAAUUGUAUAACCAUCUAGACCGUUUACACAAACUUUCUGUAAUUCAAUAUAUAGUCGUUUAAAGAUAAGAAAACUCAUUUCAAAAUUUUCCUCUUAAAAUAUCAAUGUACGGUUUUGUCUAAAAAACACAAUUUAACCCAUUGACCAAAGAAAAUAUACAUGUUUUCCAUGGUGGAUAUUAAGGAAAUAUAUAAGCUUAAAUACAAAAUAAUUGCAAGAAUCAUUUAGUGUAGAGGUACUAUAUAUUAAUAUAUUAUACCUAACUGGUUUCUUAAUCACCGUUAACAAAAAAGUCAAGUGUCUCAGACAUCACUUGUCGUAUAUAAAACUCUGGAGAAGAGUAAAAUAUUUUUGUUGACAAAAAAAAGAGUACAUGUAAUUUUACCUUACGUGUAUAUAAUCAAUAUAUCACGAAUAGAACUGACUUGGCACAUGGAGUAGUUGCAUGCAAAAUAGUAAACGCGUUCAUAGAGGUUUGAAGUUUAUAUAGAAAAAGGCGUGCACGUUAUCUGUUGCGUUAGAGUAAUUAAUGACCCAAUUCAAGAUUACUUGUAAGCAAAUCUAGAAACUACAUAUCCAUAUUUAUUCAGAUCGUCUUAUGCUCACCGGCUUCUCCUCGCAUUUCAAAACUAUGACAAAUUGUCAUAUCUGAUUUGAUACCGACAGACUUUGAUUGCUUGUUUAGUUAUUUCGGUAAUAAGGCAUCAGGAAAUCAUCAACAACCUUUGAAUUUUCAAGUUUCUCCGCCAAACAAAGACGAUGAGUUGUUCUUGGCACAUGAAUUGAGAAAAGUCAAAGACCGAGCUAGUAACAAGCUUGUAAGUGAGUUGUGAUACUAACUUGAUAUGCGGUAGCAGACUAGCAGUAAAGGUUUGCACAAAUUGAGUGGUAUGUCUUAUCGCAGACGGCGUUGUCAGACGCAAACGAUGAUGAAUAGCAUCCGAAUGUACCUUUAACCGUCGACUUAUAAUAUAUACUUUUGACUUAAUUAUUUCGGAAAAAUGGGUUCACAUUUACAUUACUUUUGAUUAAUAUAUUGAACUUCUUAUCAAGCUCCGGUUUUAGCAUGAGAUAAAUAUUUCGUUCAUCAGGUUGAUAAUCAAAUAUUAACACACGCUUAGAGAUGCACUGACUAAUAUUUUAUUUCUCUGUAAACUGUUUUUUUUUAUUGUCGGCCCUCUUUGAACUUAAAAUAUUAAAAAGAAAAAGGCGCAGUAGCAACAAACACUAAAAUAUAAGAGAAAGGUGUCUCUUCCUCAGUGAUGAUCAUAAUGUGACAACAAAAAAGAUAGUGACCGACUCGUAUCUUCAAAAAUCUUAAUGUUGGGAUUCUAUUGUGUUUGGCUUGGCUUCCUUUUACUGACUCAUUUAAGAUCUACAAUGUCCAUUUUACAUGUGACGAAGAAAGUGGGUACUCCAAUAACAACAAAUCAUGACCUAAAAGAAUUCAUUAAUAAUACCAAGGUGGUUUCAUAAGAACUUUUUUUGAUAGGGCCGGUGGAUCGAGAAGAAUAUUUAUUUACUAGAGACAAAAUUUAAAUUAUUGUUAGUAAUUAAAUUACAACGUUAUGAAAGCUUUUAUC